CAAAAGCUUGAGAGGCAGAAUAGCUCCCUUAGCUUAUGGAUUGGAGUCUGCUCCUGAGGAAGAAGGUGUGGAUCUUGGAGCAGGAAUAUGAUUCUGGGAAAACCGGUCUAUAAGAAGAAGGAUAUUUGGAUCUGUCUACAGAGAAAGAAAGAGAUGCAUGCAAGCCUGAGGAUUCUGUGGGAAUCACUUUGAUUCAUGGUGGGAUUGGAUGUAUCACAGAGACCCUACUACACUCAAGAGCUUCUGAAGAGGACGAGCCAUAGCCACACACCCUGUCUACUCUGUGAAACAUGCAGAUGCUUAAAACUUCUGGAGUCGGGAGAUUGUUUAAUGUGCACCAAGCACCAUCAAAAGUACAACAAAGCACCCGCUUGCUGCACAGUGAUGCUUGAGGAACGACUUCCGUCAGGAUGUCCCUCCCCAGGGAAUAUAGUCAGCACCAUUCUGAUUUUCCUUCUGGAACCGCAUCGCCUGCUGGGUAAUCAGUUUGUGCGCGCUGCAAGGGAAGACCUCAGCAAAAGGAGUCCAGUGCAGCUAAGAUGCAGUGUGACCGGCUGCCUAAUGUUCCUACUGCCAUGCCUCCCUUGCCAUGGUGGAUUGUAUCCUUUCUUGAAUGGUGACAGCAGAUACUGGCAAGGAUGUGGAGAAAGAGGAAUACUUCUCCAUUGCUGGUGGGAUUGCAAGCUUGUGCAGCCACUCUGGAAAUCAGUCUGGCUGUUUCUCAGAAAAUUGGACAUAGUACUACUGGAAGAUCCAGCAAUUCCUCUCCUGCGCAUAUACCCAGAAGAUGUUCCAACUGGUAAUAAGGACACAUGCUCCACUGUGUUCAUAGCAGUCUUAUUUAUAAUAGCCAGACGCUGGAAAGAACCCAGAUGUUCCUCAACAGAGGAAUGGAUACAGAAAAUGUGGUACAUUUACACAAUGGAGUACUACUCAGCUCUUAAAAACAAUGAAUUUAUGAAAUUCUUGGGCAAAUGGAUGUAUUUGGAGGAUAAUUUUAUUGUUUGUUGAUACUGUUGGUAGGGUUUGUUGUUUUUGUUGUUGCUGCUAUUGUUGCUGUUUUCUAUGUGUGUGUUUGUGUGUGUGUGUUUUCCUUAUUUGGCUGGUUAGUUUUAGUACCAGGGUCUUGCUAUGUAGCUGAGCAUGACUUUGUCUCACCUUUACCUUCUGGUGGGUUGAAUUACAGAAUUACGUAAUUCUGAGGAUCAAAUAUGUGGCCUUGAUAAUGGCAUCCUGACUUUGCCAAUUGUCUUAAAAUAUUUGUCCAUUUGUUUCUUAAUGGCUACAUUUUAUUGGUCUUUCCCAUCAUUCUACUUUCAUUACUUAUUCUAAUAACUGGGCAGUGGUGGCUCAUGCCUUUAAUCUCAGCACUUGGGAGGGAGAGGCAGGCAGAUUUAUGAGUUCAAGGACAGCCUGGUCUACAGAGUGAGUUCCAGGACAGCCAGGGUUAGACAAAGAAGCCUUGCCCACCCACACCCCUGAAUAAACAAACAAACAAAAUAAUUCAGAAUAUAACUAUCCAUUUUGUUCUGCAAUAUUAAAGUGGUACAUCUUGUUGGCCCAUUCACAUAUUUUUCCAUCCCUCCAUUGCUGGCUCAGUUCUCUUUCCCACAAGCAUUCCUGACCCCAUCAGAACUUUCACACCAGGCACUUUCAAAUUUUAUUUCCUAUUAUGUUAUUGUUUGUGGUCAUUCACUUUACUGAUAGCCUGUGAAGUUAUAUGUGUUCUCAUUCCUUGCACACUUACAUGGAAAAUUCCCAUUCUAGAUAAACAGACCCAGAAAUAUGGAAAAAAAUCAAGUCCAUCUUUCUACAUAACCAUUGCAACUUCUGACUUUAGUUUCACACUUAAUUUCAGAAAGGGUUGCUUGAAUUUGCUGUUCCUACUUCUUUCUCUCUCGUUCAUGGAAUGAUGUCCUAUAUUGUGCAUUUCUGCCCUACUCUAUUACAAAGCUUUGUUGCAAAGGUAGCUAGCUAAUGAUGCACUCCUUUAAUAUGAGAGAUAAUCUCAAGGUUCAGUGUAUACUGUAGUACCUCUUUAGAAAUAUUGUCUCCCCCCUUGCUUUCCAUAGCAUCUUUUCAAUCCAUAUAUCUCCUAUCACUUUGUCUAUUCCUUCUCAGCCUCCUUCCUGGCUGCUCUUCUCCCUGAUAACUAAAGAAUGGCACCACUCACAGUGUUCUCUGUUCAGGACUUUAUCUUCUAUUUCUCUGUCCCAUCUUCUUUCACAAACUCAUUUACCAUCUUUGCUUCAGUUACUCUCUAGAAGUCAGUGAUUACAAAGUUAUUCAUUUGGCCCAGAUUUUUGAGGUUCAGGCUGCCAAUGAGACACUCUUAUAAAUCUAUCUAUUGUGGUUAACUUAAAGCCAUUUGGGGAUGAACAUAACUGGAAACAUCACAAGCCAGACUCAGAAGAAUCAUUCUUGGACCUCCUUGUUCACAUUUUUAUUGGCUCCACCCAAUUGUUUUCUGGAGCCAUACUAGAAUUCUUAUAUUUGCCUCCAUCUCAUUCUUAGGCCUAUACAUAUGUAUUCUCUUCUUACUUCUGAUUUGACGUAAAAAUUUCCAAUUUUGUCUUUGGAUAUCCUCCCUUCCUUUUCACAUCCAUCAACCAACUACAGGUAUUAUUAACAGUAGCCAUUGCACUUAGAUGGGAUAUCUGCUUUCUUCCAUUUGUGACUUUCCUUUCUGCCUUGCACUGGUCUGAUCCUGAUUCAUUCUUUUCUCCCUAUGCCGCAGUUACUACACUGUCUGCUUUUUAGUUCCUCAAAGGUGACAGCUAGUUCUCCAUCUCAGGAAAUUGGCUAUGCACUUUUGCUUUCUAAAUUCAAAUUCUGCUAUUGCUGAAUCUCAAUCUUUACAUUACCAUUUCCUCCUUACCUAGAUGAUAUUUGGAAGAUUUCCUGUCACAUGUAAGAUUUGGGGAAACCUGUGCCUUUCUUCUUAGAACACUCAGAUGAACUUGCAAUGACAGCAGAGUGUAGGUGUAAACUUCACGAUCCCUGUCACCCACCAACAAGAUUCUUGGAGCAGAAAUAUUAGCUAAGUAAAGAGUGUGGUUUAUAUUAAACUCCACUAACUAAGGACAAAAGUUAUUUUCCUCAAGCGUGUCCUUUGCUGCCAUUAUUUGUAUCAAUUUUAGUUUAUGCCUAAGAAAUUAUUACAGUGAUGCAUCCCAAAUCAGACUUCCACACUUCCUAAUGACACCACAUACUAUAUAGUAUUGAUGGUGGCAGAAAAGUGCAUCAAGCCUCAAAACAAAGGUUCAAGAAGUACAGUUCGAUGUUUUCUCUACUUUCUAAUAAGGGAAGAGGUCAAGUCAUGAAACGAAAUUUAAAUGACAAUAGAAGAAUAUGAGAAGCCUCAAAACAAGCUCAACCUCAUUCUGAAAGAAAAGUUCACACUCUCAGAUGGGCAGACGUAUCCCACCACGCUGCACCUCACUCCCUUUUCCACACAGUAACAUUAUAAUAGCCAGAGGGAACUGGGCAGAGGGUAGCUUUGCUGUGUGUUUCAAGAUCCUUCUAUCUCAAGAAGGAAAUCUGGUGUGUGCCUCUGAAUGAUGGGGCCUGCAUUGCAUGCCUCUCAGAUAACUAACUGGAAACAUGUACUCAUAAAUAUUAGGACCUGUUGUAUUGAUUCACAAGGCCAUAUUUAGAAAACAAACACACUUCUGAUUAGAAAUGAUCACACAGCUGGUCCUAAACAGGUGGCUAUCAGAGGAAUCUGUGGAUAUUUAUGACUUUAGAGGGGCAAGCUUUGUCUCUUAAGAAGUCUCAACUGUUCUUGGAGUAAAGCGAUUUAAAGGCAGCGUUUGCUUGACUUCUUGCUGGUUUGUUGACCUAUUCUACUCAAAAUACCAAAUGACACAUUCCAUUUCUUUCUACCUUAAAUGUAUAUCACACUUUACACAAGGGAGGGGGGAUACGUCUCUAGCUAAUUUUCCUUAAACAAUGUAAAUGCUGAAUUCUGUCAAUAAAAAUCUUUAUGAUCAAAUGGCUACUAAAAAUCUAGAGAUGGCAAAACAGUUAGGAGCAUAUAUGACUCUCUCAGAGACUUGAGCUUGACUCAGAAAAACCGAUGUUGAGUGGCUAACAAUUGCCUGUAAUUUAAACCCCAGAGGUUCAGCGGCUCUCAUUCCUCCUUUGGCUCCUGCAGGCACCCAUACUCCCAUGUACAAUGGUCCCUCCUCACACAUAGACACACAUGAUUAAAACAGGGAAGAUAGAUCUUUAUAAAGGGGCAAGUAAAAUGAAUCUAUUCCUUAACGAUAUAGUUUUUCUGCCUUUCGACUUUUCUUAUUGACACCUGCUUAAUCUGUAACAAUCUGAUUAUUCAUUUCUCCUCCCCUCCUUUUCGAAAUGAUUAGGCUGCCUGCAGUACUUCUUUCCAAAAUCAAAUCUAUUCCAAGUUGAUUAGCUUGGCUCUAUCCACCGGCAAUACUGAAAGUGACAUAUACCAUAUUUCUUCAAGAUAGUAGUGAACCUAGGCUCCACAUAUCUGCCAGAGCCCUCGUGUGCUUGACUUCAUAAUGGUAUUUUUAGUUUCUAGUAAUUUGGAAAAAGGUGAUGGGUGAUAAAGUCAGAAAUAAAGUGUAACAAUAUGGUAUCCAGCUCCAUCUAUAUAUAACACCUAGGAAAUGUAUAGAAAAGUGAAUUUCCAUUCCAAUAACACCUGUGACAUUUAGACAUUGUAUAGGAUUUCUGCUUUCAGUCUAUGCCUGUAUCAUAUGCAUGAACUAGUUUUCUCUAAAUUUAGUCAGAGACCUUCAGCUAGUCAGACACUCAGAGGGUAUAUGGUGCAGUGAAUCAUAAAUGUCUGUGCAUUUAUAGCUUCUGUAAUUCUUGUUGGUAAAUGGGUUAAUAAAAUCAGUAUCAUAUUUGGAAAAACUUAGAAACCUCAAACCAUGAAACUCAAUGGAAACUUUAGUUAUAUAAGACUUUCACUUUACAAUGCAGUUGUCAUUCUUGGUCCUGACUAUGGUUUAUAUAUUAUAUCUUCUGGGGUAGGCUUGCAUUUAUGAACUUGGAGAUAAUUUUCUCAUGAAUACAGUAAAUAUCUUUGAUUUCCAUUUAAUGAUCUAGCCAAAACAUGGCAGAAGUUCCUUCAUAUCGUUCACCAACCAUUGUUCUAGAUGUCUCUCCUGGCAACAUUCCAUUUAGGAAGCAAAGCUAUUUUACAUUUUAUACUUCUUCUAUAUAAAAUACUAGUAACGUGUUAAAAGCUCUCAAACCCCUUGGCAACUGUACUCUUGGUAAUAGCUAUAUUUAAAAAAUUAAAAAUAAACAUUAUGAUGAUUU